UUUUGGAUGGCAGCACCCCAAGAUGAAAGGAGCUUGGAUCCCCAAGUCAUUAUUUGGAGGAGAGCCUCUGCAAAGAGCUGCCUGCUGUGCACUGGACUGUGAGCUCUGAGCCUCCUUGAUGGGAAAGAUUUUCCUUCUGGACCUCCAUCUCCCUGGUGAAGGAAAGGUGGCACAUGGCGAAUCUUCAACACAUGUUGGCUGUUUGAAUGCAUUGGUGAAGGACGAAUGGAUAAAUGAAGUGCAGAUCCCUUGCAAGUGGAGUCUGUGUCAGGGUCUGUGUUAUACCUCCUGUAUCCUUGGUACCUGGCACGGUUCCUUGAACAGAGUUUUUAAACCCGUGGAUGCUCUUUCAGCACGGAAGUCAUUGGAAUCAGUAUUUAGG
rnacentral:lncRNA from 1 species